rnacentral:rRNA from 1 species
UACUAACACGAGUCCGAUAGCAAACAAGUACCGUGAGGGAAAGUUGAAAAGUACUUUGAAGAGAGAGUAAACAGUGCGUGAAACUGCUCAAAGGUAAACAGGUGGAGUUGAACUGCAAGCUCUGGGGAUUCAGCUGAUGAGUUUAACUAGCGCUCGGGCUUAUUAGCCAGCCUUUAAUGUCUGUCUAACGGCAGGUACCUUCCCUUGAGGUUGGUAUGUGUGAUGCGCUUACCAUGUGCUGCACGCAUUGAGGUUGAGUGGUUUGCUUGUCAGUGCACUUUCUCGGAGUGUUCACCACGACCGUCACUGCUGUCUGUCUACUUUGGUCAAACUGAUCUGGUCUGGUUAUUACUAGGCUUGGUUGGGAUGGCAGGUGCCUCAUUGGUUCACUUGAUGGGCUAUGAGUGUAAUUAGCCGGCCAUUGUGGAUCUGUACGGUGUGUCGGAGAUGACGGCUUUGCAUGCGUGCUCUAUCCUUCGGGCGAGGUUGAGUCCGGUUGGCUUGUUACUGGCUUUGGCUGGUCGGUCGAUGGCUUGGUCUUGUUCAGUUGGUGGUUGCGUGUGUGACUUGGUAUGGGCCAAUAGUCUGUGGUGUAGUGGUAGACGAUCCACCUGACCCGUCUUGAAACACGGACCAAGGAGUUUAACAUAUGCGCGAGUCAUUGGGUGUUACGAAUCCCAAAGGCGAAAUGAAGGUAAAGGUUUGGCUUGUCCGAACUGAGGUGAGAUCCCGUUGGUUUGCCUAUUAACUUUACGAGAUGCGAACAGCGGGCGCAUCACCGGCCCGUCCCAUGACGUAGACGUGUGGCCCUGUGUCAUGCGCACCGUCGGGGCGGAGCAAGAGCGCGUAUGUUGAGACCCGAAAGAUGGUGAACUAUGC